rnacentral:rRNA from 1 species
UACGGGGGGGGCAAGCGUUGUUCGGAAUUACUGGGCGUAAAGGGCCAGUAGGCGGCCAACUAAGUCGGAUGUGAAAUCCCCAGGCUUAACCUGGGAACUGCAUCCGAUACUGGAUGGCUUGAAUUCGGGAGAGGGAUGCAGAAUUCCAGGUGUAGCGGUGAAAUGCGUAGAUAUACUGGAGGAAUACCGGUGGCGAAGGCGGCAUCCUGGACCGACAUUGACGCUGAACGGCGAAAGCUAGGGGAGCAAACGGG